rnacentral:pre_miRNA from 1 species
AUGUAGGGCAAUCCAUCUUUAAGUAGGGGUGAAUUACUCUGAAAGAAAAUUAAAAAAAAAAAAAAGAAUCCUAGAUAGAUCCCUUCAAGUCAAGCAUCUUGC